AGCAGCCGCGGUAAUUCCAGCUCCAAUAGCGUAUAUUAAAGUUGUUGCAGUUAAAAAGCUCGUAGUUGAAUUUCGGGGUUCUACCGUUGGUCGGGCAAUUGUCUGUACUGGCGUGUGGAAUUUCUACCUUCUGGAGAACCAUCAUGUUAUUAAUUUAGCGUGGUGGGAAACCAGAACCUUUACCUUGAAAAAAUUAGAGUGUUCAAAGCAGGCUUACGUCUGAAUACAUUAGCAUGGAAUAAUAAAAUAGGACGGUGGUCCUGUUUUGUUGGUUUCUGAAUCACCGUAAUGAUUAAUAGGGAUAGUUGGGGGCAUUAGUAUUCAAUUGUCAGAGGUGAAAUUCUUGGAUUUAUUGAAGACUAACUUCUGCGAAAGCAUUUGCCAAGGAUGUUUUCAUUAAUCAAGAACGAAAGUUGGGGGAUCGAAGACGAUCAGAUACCGUCGUAGUCUUAACCAUAAACUAUGCCGACUAGGGAUCGGACGAUGUUAAUUUUUCUUGACUCGUUCGGCGCCUUACGGG
rnacentral:rRNA from 1 species